CCUACGGGAGGCUGCAGUGAGGAAUAUUGGUCAAUGGGAGGAAUCCUGAACCAGCCAUGCCGCGUGCAGGACGACGGCUCUACGAGUUGUAAACUGCUUUUGUACCGGGGUAAAAUGCCUUACGUGUAGGGUUUUGAAAGUACGGUACGAAUAAGGAUCGGCUAACUCCGUGCCAGCAGCCGCGGUAAUACGGAGGAUCCGAGCGUUAUCCGGAUUCAUUGGGUUUAAAGGGUGCGUAGGUUGUUUUAUAAGUUAGCGGUGAAAUACCGAUGCUCAACAUCGGGGCUGCCGCUAAUACUGUAGGACUAGAGAUCGGAUGCAGCAGGCGGAAUGUGUAGUGUAGCGGUGAAAUGCUUAGAGAUCAUACAGAACACCGAUUGCGAAGGCAGCUUACCAAGCUACUUCUGACGUUGAGGCACGAAAGCGUGGGGAGCAAACAGGAUUAGAUACCCUUGUAGUC
rnacentral:rRNA from 1 species